rnacentral:RNase_P_RNA from 1 species
ACAGGCUGAAUGCCGUCGCUGCCGGCCUUGGUCGGCAGAGGAACUUCCCGACUUCCUCCGGUCCGCAGGGCCGGAAGGUUGCCUCACGAAACAGCAAGUGAGGGCGCGACUUGGGCAACCGGGCCGCGACUACAACCGCAACAGAGAGCAUUCCCGCCUCCGGCAUGUCGGAAGGUAAGGGGUGAAACGGUGGGGUAAGAGCCCACCAGCAUGGAUAGAGAUAUCCUUGGCUGGGCGAGCGUGCAACCGGGAGCAAGGUGAGCGGGUUGCAGGCCUUCGGGUCGGCAAUCUCACCGCAGCGGAAACCCUGUGGCCCGUUGGGGUUUGUGGGGCAAAUUUCCGCCAGGCCGAGUGCGGCCUGAGAUAGAUGACGGCGACGGCGCGUACGCGCCGCACAGAAUCGGGGGUACUCAGUCUGUGCCU